rnacentral:rRNA from 1 species
UACGUAGGGCGCAAGCGUUGUCCGGAAUUACUGGGCGUAAAGGGCUCGUAGGCGGCCAACUAAGUCAUACGUGAAAUCCCUCGGCUUAACCGGGGAACUGCGUCUGAUACUGGAUGGCUUGAGUUCGGGAGAGGGAUGCGGAAUUCCAGGUGUAGCGGUGAAAUGCGCAGAUAUCAGGAGGAACACCGGUGGCGAAGGCGGGUCUCUGGGCCGAAAUUGACGCUGAGGAGCGAAAGCGUGGGGAGCAAACAGG